UUACAUUUUGUAUAUGAUCUCAUUUUACUGGGUUUGUUUUUGGCUCAAGGUUCUGUCUGUUUUUGGCUGUCUUCGGCUCCCUUCGAACUCUCACUCGCAAGAGCUUACACCGUUCCACUCUCACUGUUGUUCACUCCGGCUCGACAUCACUUCGGCUGCUGGGUUAGUUUAUCACUUUGGCACCUGACACCCUAUAAACUCUCAAUCACGCAUAUACAGAUCUGUGAAUUUUGAGGGGUUCUGCAAAUUGAGGGUAAUGCAGACCAGGUAAAUGGAGAGGAUGAACUCUAUGAGUAGAGGGAAGCGAAAUUUGGAGGGCGGUGACGAUGACCAACUGGAGCGAAAGCAACCGGCUUUAGCUAGGUAAAUUUGAGUUUUGUUCGGUCGGUUGUGUUGAUUUGGUGUUGUUUUGUUGUGUUUUAUUUGUUAAUUUUUGCUGAUUGAUUAGUUGGGUAGUGAAAACUGUAGUUGUUUUACAUGUAUGGUAAUUAUGUUAAUACUUGAUUGUAUUGCCUCGGUGGAAUGGAAUUAUUAUGAUUCUGUGAUAUGCUUAAUGAUGUUGACUGCGCUUCUCUAAUUGCAAUCUUGAAUUGAAUUUUUCUAUAGCUUUGUUGCAAUUAUUGGUAGGGAGAAUAGGAGAGUUUCAGACAGUUUGAGAUAGGUGGUCAAUGAUGGUAGGGAGAAUAGGAGAGUUUCAAACAGUUUGAAAUAGAGUUUCAGACAGUUUUAUAUAUUUUUGUUGAUUAGGUUGUGUUUCUAAGAUUUCGGUUUCGAUUUGUGUUUGUGUUUCUAAGAUUUCUGUUUGGUUUUGUGUGAUUAGGUAUGCAUUCAAUGGAACCACAGAAAAAGUUGGAAACAAAUCUUAAGAGACACAAAGCAUUGGAACAGAGCAUUGAAAAUCAUUAUGUUUCUUUUCAAUCAAAGCAAAAGAGACCCAUCAAUUUGGGUUUAUGUUUCUAAGAUUUGGAUUUGUAUUUGUUUUUCUAAACCUUAAACUGAUGUGUUUGUGUUGGAUUUGUGUUUUUAAACCUUAAACUGAUAUGUAUUUGGAUUUCUCUUUC